AUUUCCUUUAAUGCAGUCCAGAGAGGCUGAAAAGGGUGAUAUAAGCUAAACAUCUGAUUAUGGUAUAUCGAUGGAUAUUUAUGCCCUUUUGUCCUUUAUGACAAUAGGGCAUUUUUUAU
rnacentral:sRNA from 1 species